rnacentral:rRNA from 1 species
UACAGAGGUCCCAAGCGUUGUUCGGAUUCACUGGGCGUAAAGGGUGCGUAGGCGGUCGGGUAAGUCUGACGUGAAAUCUUCAAGCUCAACUUGGAAACUGCGUCCGAUACUAUUCGGCUAGAGGAAUGGAGGGGAGACUGGAAUACUUGGUGUAGCAGUGAAAUGCGUAGAUAUCAAGUGGAACACCAGUGGCGAAGGCGGCCUUCUGGACAGUAACUGACGCUGAGACGCGAAAGCGUGGGGAGCAAACAGG